rnacentral:rRNA from 1 species
GACGAACGCUGGCGGCGUGCCUAAUACAUGCAAGUAGGACGCAGUUGCGAACGGGAGAGUAACGCGUAGGUCACUGCCUAUUAGAGGGGGAUAACUAUUGGAAACGAUAGCUAAUACCGCAUACUAGUAGCAGGACCUGCGUUGUAUUAGCUAGUAGGUAGGGUAAUGGCCUCACUAGGAGACGAGACAUAGCCGAUCUGAGAGGGGGAUCGGCCACACUGUGACUGAGCCACGGGCCAGCCUCCUACGUGAGGCAGCAGUGGGGAAUCUUCGGCAAUGGACGAAAGUCUUACCGAGCAACGCCGCGUGAGUGAAGAAGGUUUGCGGGUCUUAAAACUCUGUUGUUAGGGAAGCGGUAUCUAACCAGAAAGCCACGGCUAACUCCGUGCCAGCCGCCGCGGUAAUAC